CCCGAAAACAAUAACGUACGUGGUGCCAGAGAGGAAAGGUGCAAGAUGAAGGCUUUACUUUAGAUUAUAUUUGUCAUUUUAAUGGCAAUAACUACUGUCAAAGUUGCCUGUGCGUACUCACCCACUACUCCCUACACUACGACUACGUACUACUAUACACCGUGGGGAGGAGGGGGAGGGGCCAGUGCUGCGUCGUUGAGUGGCUAUGUCUUUGCAAUGACUAUGAUUGGUGCUUUUAUCUGGCAAUUUGUACAGAUUUGACGGUCACCUUGUUCAUUGCCUAUUCUUUUUGAGGCUGUUGUUGUCUAUGAUCUUCAAAGUGAGACAUGCAAUGCUAUUUAUCUGUAUUGGUUAGGGAUUAAAAUAUAAGACAAUCAAAUAUUGUAUAUGUAGAUUACAUUCAACGUAGAAUCUUCCUGACAAUCAAUAACGUACAAUGAUUUGUAAAAAAGAAAAUAUUUGUUUGAUUUUUAUUGCAUUUAAGGCCGCUUUCUCAUGCCUGUUUAAAUCAUGAAAUGCAUGAAAAAUAUUGAAUUUGUUCCAAAUACAUAUCAUGUAAUUCAAUUUAAUCUUUCAAAGGAACAUUCUUAAUCGACACUCUUAAUGUUAUGCUUUAAUUGAGUUUAGUGUAUUAAAAACAUCAUUGCAAAAUGUA